CCUACGGGAUGCAGCAGUAGGGGAUAUUGCACAAUGUGGGAAACCCUGAAGCAGCAACGCCGCGUGGAGGAUGAAGGGUCUCGGAUUGUAAACUCCUUUCGUUAGAGAAGAUAAUGACGGUAUCUAACGAAUAAGCACCGGCUAACUCCGUGCCAGCAGCCGCGGUAAUACGUAGGGUGCAAGCGUUACUCGGAAUCACUGGGCGUAAAGAGCGCGGCGGCGGGAUAGCAAGUCAGAUGUGAAAUCCUAUGGCUUAACCAUAGAACUGCAUUUGAAACUGGUAUUCUAGAGUAUGGGAGAGGUAGGUGGAAUUCUUGGGGUAGGGGUAAAAUCCGUAGAGAUCAAGAGGAAUCCUCAUUGCGAAGGCGACCUACCAGAACCUCACUGACGCUGAUGCGCGAAAGCGUGGGGAGCGAACAGGAUUAGAUACCCUUGUAGUC
rnacentral:rRNA from 1 species